CCUACGGGGGGCAGCAGUGAGGAAUAUUGGUCAAUGGACGAGAGUCUGAACCAGCCAAGUAGCGUGAAGGAUGACUGCCCUAUGGGUUGUAAACUUCUUUUAUAAAGGAAUAAAACGAGGCACGUGUGCCUUUUUGCAUGUACUUUAUGAAUAAGGAUCGGCUAACUCCGUGCCAGCAGCCGCGGUAAUACGGAGGAUGCGAGCGUUAUCCGGAUUUAUUGGGUUUAAAGGGUGCGCAGGCGGAGGCAAAAGUCAGCGGUAAAAUCGCGGGGCUAAACCCGGCUCUGCCGUUGAAUCUGUGUCCCUAGAGUGCUCGAAGGGUAGGCGGAAUGCGUGGUGUAGCGGUGAAAUGCUUAGAGAUCACGAAGAACACCGAUUGCGAAGGCAGCUUACUAAACUACCACUGACGUUGAGGCUCGAAAGUGUGGGGAGCAAACAGGAUUAGAUACCCCUGUAGUC
rnacentral:rRNA from 1 species